CACUCAGUAUAAGACUAACGCUUAUACAUUUAAUAUAGUUUGCAUUAGGCAUAACUAAAGAAAGAGUAG
rnacentral:sRNA from 32 species